rnacentral:rRNA from 1 species
UACGGGGGGGGCAAGCGUUGUUCGGAAUUACUGGGCGUAAGGGGCUCGUAGGCGGCUCGUUAAGUCAGACGUGAAAGCCCUCGGCUUAACCGGGGAACGGCGUCUGAGACUGGCAAGCUUGAAUCCGGGAGAGGGAUGCGGAAUUCCAGGUGUAGCGGUGAAAUGCGUAGAUAUCUGGAGGAACACCGGUGGCGAAGGCGGCAUCCUGGACCGGUAUUGACGCUGAGGAGCGAAAGCCAGGGGAGCAAAUGGG